rnacentral:rRNA from 1 species
AGAGUUUGAUCCUGGCUCAGGAUGAACGCUUAGCGGCAGGCCUCAACACAUUGCAAGUCGAGGGGCAGCGGGAGUGCUUGCACUCGCCGGCGACCGGCGCACGGGUGCGGAACGCGUAUCGAAUCUGCCUCUAUCUGGGGGAUACCCCAUGGAAACGUGGAAUAAUACCCCAUAGUAUUACUUUAUCGCAUGAUUUAGUAAUUAAAGAAUUUCGGAUAGAGAUGACGAUGCGUAUCAUUAGCUAGUAGGUAAGGUAACGGCUUACCUAGGCAACGAUGAUUAGGGGUCCUGAGAGGGAGAUCCCCCACACUGGUACUGAGACACGGACCAGACUCCUACGGGAGGCAGCAGUGAGGAAUAUUGGACAAUGGUCGAAAGACUGAUCCAGCCAUGCCGCGUGCAGGAUGACUGCCCUAUGGGUUGUAAACUGCUUUUAUACGGGAAGAAAAACACCUACGUGUAGGUGACUGACGGUACCGUAAGAAUAAGGACCGGCUAACUCCGUGCCAGCAGCCGCGGUAAU